UACGUAGGGGGCAAGCGUUGUCCGGAUUUAUUGGGCGUAAAGAGCUCGUAGGUGGUUCGGUAAGUCGGAUGUGAAAUCUCCAGGCUCAACCUGGAGGGGUCAUUCGAUACUGCCGUGACUAGAGGUCGGUAGGGGAGUCUGGAAUUCCUGGUGUAGCGGUGAAAUGCGCAGAUAUCAGGAGGAACACCGGUGGCGAAGGCGGGACUCUGGGCCGAUACUGACGCUGAGGAGCGAAAGCGUGGGGAGCAAACAGG
rnacentral:rRNA from 1 species